rnacentral:tRNA from 1 species
UUUAAGGUGGCAGAUAAAUGCAUUAGAUUUAAGCUCUAAAGAUGAGGUAUUCCCUUAAAA